rnacentral:rRNA from 1 species
GGUUAAGUGACUAAGCGUACACGGUGGAUGCCUUGGCAGUCAGAGGCGAUGAAGGACGUAGUAACUUGCGAUAAGCCCAGAUUAGGUAGUAACAACCAUUUGAGUCUGGGAUUUCCGAAUGGGGAAACCCACU